AGCUAUACGCGUUCGUAUGUAACGGAAACCAGCCUUCCGUGUAAUUUUGUACGUCACGCAUUGCGGCAAAACUUUUAGCGCGCGCGCGGAAAUAGCACGCGUAAAUGCGAGUAAGGUACUGAGCGGAUGUGAUGUAAUGUGUUGUAAACCUGUUUGUCCAGUACGUAUUGUCUAUGUAUAGAAUACCUAGUAUUGAAUGUAGGGUAAUUUACCUGGUGCACUGGUCACUUUGAACAGAGCGGCCAGAGCGAGCACAGCGAACAUUUGUACACCUAUAUCUUUACCUAGCCAGCAUAGGAAUUAAAAGAGGUAGCGGGCACUAGAGCCAAAAGCAAAUAAUCUUACAUUGAACGAGUAAGACUGAGGACUCGGCGGACUUUGUCCGAGAAAACCCUCUUCACAUUGAAGAGGUGGGUAUUUUAAUAUAUUUGUAAUUAUGCUGUAUUUCUAUAUAAUAUAUAGAUUGAAUGUAACAGUUGUAAUACGUAUUCCAUUAUUGUAACUUAUGUAACUGGCUACGGCCAGGUAGUUGUUUGACAUGUCUUAGCUUAUGUGAUUGUAUAAAUGUUAUAUGUGUAGUAAUAUGAUGUAUUUCAUGUUACAGGGUUUUUACUUACGUAAUAAAUUAACUGAGAAAAGAACCCAGGAGUUGUCGUAUAUCCACGAUAAAAGACGACUAUUACAUUGGCGCCCACGUAUCGUUGAUGGCCUAGUGUACCCGCCGACACGCUUGACGGGAUGGAUAUCUACCGACCGUAAAUGUAGACCGGACUGGAAAAUUCACCUGAGUGACCUAUUCCACCUGAUGACGGGAUGGAUUUCGUCUGUAUGUGAAUGCAGGAUGUAUACCAGAGAGGCACGCACGUACGCUCGAACGACCUUCGGACGACCUUGAUCAACGAGUGUUUUGUGUAUCACGCGACUGCAAUGUGCGCAGUUGAUUCUAUAUGUUAUUGGACCCGGAGAAGAACUGGACCUGUGCUGACCGUACACGCUUACAUUGAACGAGUAAGACUGAGGACUCGGCGGACUUUGUCCGAGAAAACCCUCUUCACAUUGAAGAGGUGGGUAUUUUAAUAUAUUUGUAGUUAUGCUGUAUUUCUAUAUAAUAUAUAGAUUGAAUGUAACAGUUGUAAUACGUAUUCCACUAUUGUAACUUAUGUAACUGGCUACGGCCAGGUAGUUGUUUGAUAUGUCUUAGCUUAUGUGAUUGUAUAAAUGUUAUAUGUGUAGUAAUAUGAUGUAUUUCA